GUGUGCCAGGAGAGACGGAGGAGUAGUUUUCUACUAGAUUAGCAAAUAAUUUGGAGAACCUUAUACUUAAAGGAGACCAGAGAUGAUUGCUGCAUUCAUUCUCGAGCCUGUAAUGGGAGCUUGAGGUGUAAUCCCACCACCUGCAACAUAUUUUGAGAAGAUUCAAGAUGUCAUGAAAAAAAUAUGACAUACUCUUCAUUGCAGAUGAGGUGAUAUGUGCCUUUGGAUGGCUAGGAAUGAUGUUUGGUUGUGACAAAUAAAAUAUUAAACCAGACCUUGCCUCCAGAGCAAAGGUAAUAAGAUCUGAGAAAGGAACUUACCUGCCCAUAUCAACAAAAGCAAUUUCUUAUUGUUAUUCACCCCAUCUCAAAAUGUGUUUGUCAGGCUCUUUUGUCUGCAUACAUGCCUAUUAGUGCAGUUCUGCUGAGCCCGGAAGGCUGAAAUAUCACAAGUUAUACACUCGCAAAGAAACAAACUUGGUAACUUUUCCCAUGGAUUUACUUAUCCUGGGCAUCCUGUUUCCUGUGCUGUUGUACUGGAAGCAAUCAAAA